AGGCUAGGGGUCAAAUCAGAGCUGUAGCUGCUGGCAUACACCACAGCCACAGCAAUGUCAGAUCUGAGCCACCUCUUUGACCUACAGCUCACAGCAACGCUGGAUCCUUAAUCCACUGAGCAAGGCCAAGGAUCGAACCUGCCUCCUCAUGGAUGCUAGUCAGCUUCGUUUUGGCUGAGCCACGACAGGAACUCCCCAGUCAGAUUCUGCUGAGCCACAAUGGGAACUCUUCUGUGCUUUUGAGCAGUCUUAUUUUGCAUAAGUAUACUGUUGAAUCUAAGAAGCCCUGUGAAACUGGGUUGACUCCAACAUUUCCCAAGUGUAUUUCCAAAUGGAAUCGCUUUCUUUGUGGAAGAUCCGUUUGUGAAUAAAAGAUCGGGAUUAGAGUUCUGUUAGUGUGGGUCUUCCAAAGAGCAGGUUCCAAGAUGUGAUUGGCAUCCUCAAGAUUUAUUUGGGGAAACACCCAGGAAGGAUAAAGAGGAAGGAGUAGGAGAAGGAAGAGUUUUAGACCAUGAUACAGGUCUGACUCCUGUGUUGGAGAGCAGGAAGAAAGGGGAAUCGGGUAGGAAAAAUCUUCUAAGAGAAUUUCCUCCAGGCAUCUUGCAGUGCACGUAAGUCAUCCAUUAGAGGAGUCCCAGGUCUUACAGGAUUAGUUCACUAGCUGGGCUUCCACAUUUGCUUCGAGCAGCCCCUGGUCAGUGUGGCUUCAGUGCGACAGAGUGGUCAAUCGAGAGAUGUAGCCUCCAGGGCUGUCAGUCAAGUGUGUUUCCUGCAGCUGGAGAUCUGAGUGGCACUUUUUCAUGACUGCCACAGCAUCCAGUCUGGUCCUUGUUAGCUAUGCAACCUUGAGUAAGUUAUUCCAGGGUCCAGAACCUAAAGAGUUAAUCUAUAAAAUGGGAGAGAACCCUUUCUAUGUCAUAUAGCUGCGGUGACAUAUAGCUGUAUGUGAAAGUUCUUUGUAACCUGUGAAGCAUUCUAGAAAUAGAAAAGAAUAUUCUUCUGGAGGGACUGAAGCCUGUUCAAGUGCAUUAGCUGCUAGAAAGCCACGGUGCUCCUUGACCACCACAUAUUGUCUUUGCUGUCAUUGCUCUGAAUUUCCCACAGGCUCACUACAGUGGUGAGCAUCUAAUAGGUAACGAGUGCAUGUUUGUUACAUCAUGAUAGCAACUGUUGUGAGUUCUCCAAGGAAACACUCCAUGACUAAGAUGACAUGUGGCAUAAUGAUGGUAGACGCUGAAAUGUAUUCCCUCUGGUAGAAGGCCACAUGGCAGGAGGCAAAGCAUAGGGGAAGGUAGGGGAUGAUUUCUGUUGAUAUAUUCUGUACUUGUAUCUGGAACUGAUGUAGCAGCUCCAUGAUGAGGAACUUCUCUGAGUGGGGAAAGAAGGAAGAGAGUUUCAUAACCAUCUUGCUUUGCAGAAUAGUAUCUCUUUUUGAGAAUUUCUGAAAUAAUUCCGAAGCUAAUUGAAUUGUUAAGACAAUUCUCAAUCUUCAUUCUUUUUUUUUUUAUUUUCCCACUAUACAACAAGGGUAUCAAGUUAUCCUUACAUGUAUACAUUACAAUUACAUUUUUUCCCCACCCUUUGUUCUGUUGCAACAUGAGUAUCUAGACAAAGUUCUCAAUGCUAUUCAGCAGGAUCUCCUUGUAAAUCUAUUCUAAGUUGUGUCUGAUAAGCCCAAGCUCCCGAUCCCUCCCACUCCCUCCCCCUCCCAUCAGGCAGCCACAAGUCUUUUCUCCAAGUCCAUGAUUUUCUUUUCUGAGGAGAUAUUCAUUUGUGCUGGAUAUUAGAUUCCAGUUAUAAGUGAUAUUCUUGAUAACUGAACAGUGUUGCUCUUCUUUGACUGUAGCUCAUCUGCUUGGUUCUGCUUUCCUGAGAGGUGGAAGUUUGGUCUAUUCCUUCUUUGUACAUUUCUUUGCACCAGCUCAGCAUUUUGUUCAAUAAAUGUUUGUGGGAUGAACCAAUGAAUGAAUUCAAUAUUCAUUCUACAUGCUGGGUGCAAAGGAGACAAUAGUGAAUCAACUAGAGAGAGUUCCUAGAAUCAGUUAGAGAAGGUUCCUACCCUAAUGGAAACUUUAUCCAGUGAACAUUCAUGAAAAAAAAAAA
rnacentral:lncRNA from 1 species